rnacentral:sRNA from 12 species
CUAGCAUGGGUGCUAGGCCACACGUCAGCUCACUAGUACAUUAUUUAGAUUUAUUUUAAGUCAUAAAAUUCAUUUUCGACAAUUAGUAGCGAUGAUCUUAGAAAAAAGGGAUUGUGAACAUUGAAGAAAAGGUGGCACAGAGUAAGCUGGCUAAAUAGU